rnacentral:misc_RNA from 1 species
GAUGAAGAACGUAGUGAAAUGCGAUAAGUAAUGUGAAUUGCAGAAUUCAGUGAAUCGUCGAAUCUUUGAACGCACAUUGCGCCCGCCAGUAUUCUGGCGGGCAUGCCUGUUCGAGCGUCAUUUCAACCAUCAAGCCCCCGGCUUGUGUUGGGGACCUGCGGCUGCCGCAGGCCCUGAAAACCAGUGGCGGGCUCGCUAGUCACUCCGAGCGUAGUAAUACAUCUCGCUCAGGGCGUGCUGCGGGUUCCGGCCGUUAAAAAGCCUUAUUUACCCAAGGUUGACCUCGGAUCAGGUAGGAAGACCCGCUGAACUUAAGCAUAUCAAUAAGCGGAGGA